GCUCACUUCAGCAAUGCAUAUACUAAAGUUGGAAUGAUACAGAGAAGACUAGCAUGGCCCUUGCACAAAGAUAACACACAAAUUCAUGGAGUGUUCCAUGUUUUU
rnacentral:snRNA from 1 species